GUUUGAUUCUGGCUCAGAACGAACGCUGGCGGCAGGCUUAACACAUGCAAGUCGAACGAUAUAGUGGCAGACGGGUGAGUAACGCGUGGAAACGUGCCUUUCACUACGGAAUAGCUUUUGGAAACGAAAGGUAAUACCGUAUACGCCCUCCGGGGGAAAGAUUUAUCGGUGAAAGAUCGGUCCGCGUUAGAUUAGCUAGUUGGUGAGGUAAGAGCUCACCAAGGCGACGAUCUAUAGCUGGUCUGAGAGGAUGAUCAGCCACACUGGGACUGAGACACGGCCCAGACUCCUACGGGAGGCAGCAGUGGGGAAUAUUGCACAAUGGGCGCAAGCCUGAUGCAGCCAUGCCGCGUGAAUGAUGAAGGCCUUAGGGUUGUAAAAUUCUUUCGCUAGGGAUGAUAAUGACAGUUCCUAGUAAAGAAGCCCCGGCUAACUUCGUGCCAGCAGCCGCGGUAAUACGAAGGGGGCUAGCGUUGUUCGGAAUUACUGGGCGUAAAGCGCACGUAGGCGGACUUUUAAGUCAGAUGUGAAAUCCCAAGGCUCAACCUUGGAACUGCAUUUGAAACUGGGAGUCUAGAGAUCAGGAGAGGUUAGUGGAAUACCGAGUGUAGAGGUGAAAUUCGUAGAUAUUCGGUGGAACACCAGUGGCGAAGGCGACUAACUGGACUGAUACUGACGCUGAGGUGCGAAAGUGUGGGGAGCAAACAGGAUUAGAUACCCUGGUAGUCCACACCGUAAACGAUGAGAGCUAGUUGUCUGCAGGCAUGCCUGUAGGUGACGCAGCUAACGCAUUAAGCUCUCCGCCUGGGGAGUACGGCCUCAAGGUUAAAACUCAAAGAAAUUGACGGGGGCCCGCACAAGCGGUGGAGCAUGUGGUUUAAUUCGAAGCAACGCGCAGAACCUUACCUACGCUUGACAUGCCUGGACGACUCCGAGAGAUCGGUUUCUCCCUUCGGGGCCAGUGCACAGGUGCUGCAUGGCUGUCGUCAGCUCGUGUCGUGAGAUGUUGGGUUAAGUCCCGCAACGAGCGCAACCCUCAUCCUUAGUUGCCAUCACGUUUGGGUGGGCACUCUAGGGAAACUGCCGGUGCUAAGCCGGAGGAAGGCGGGGAUGACGUCAAGUCCUCAUGGCCCUUACGCGUAGGGCUACACACGUGCUACAAUGGCAGUGACCAUGGGAUAAUCCCCAGAAGCUGUCUCAGUUCGGAUUGUCGGCUGCAACUCGCGGGCAUGAAGUUGGAAUCGCUAGUAAUCGUGGAUCAGCAUGCCACGGUGAAUACGUUCCCGGGCCUUGUACACACCGCCCGUCACACCAUGGGAGUUGGAUCUACCCGAAGAUUGUGAGCUAACUUCGGAGGCAGCAAGCCACGGUAGGUUCAGCGACUGGGGUGAAGUCGUAACAAGGUA
rnacentral:rRNA from 1 species